GGAAGCUUGGCAGAGUGGUUGAAUGCAGCAGUCUUGAAAACUGCCGAGGAUGCGAGUCCUCCGUGAGUUCGAAUCUCACAGCUUCCG
rnacentral:tRNA from 1 species